rnacentral:rRNA from 1 species
UGGGGAAUUUUGCACAAUGGGGGAAACCCUGAUGCAGCGACGCCGCGUGAUUUAGAAGGCCUUCGGGUUGUAAAAAUCUUUUGUAUGGGAAGAAAAUGACAGUACCAUACGAAUAAGGACCGGCUAAUUACGUGCCAGCAGCCGCGGUAAUACGUAAGGUCCGAGCGUUGUCCGGAAUCAUUGGGCGUAAAGGGUACGUAGGCGGAUAAGCAAGUUAGAAGUGAAAUCCUAUAGCUCAACUAUAGUAAGCUUUUAAAACUGCUCAUCUUGAGGUAUGGAAGGGAAAGUGGAAUUCCUAGUGUAGCGGUGAAAUGCGCAGAUAUUAGGAGGAAUACCGGUGGCGAAGGCGACUUUCUGGCCAUAUACUGACGCCGAGGUACGAAAGCGUGGGUAGCAAACAGG